rnacentral:rRNA from 1 species
UACGGGGGGGGCAAGCGUUGUUCGGAAUUACUGGGCGUAAAGGGCGCGUAGGCGGCCUGCUAAGUCGGAUGUGAAAUCCCUCGGCUCAACCGAGGAACUGCAUCCGAUACUGGCGGGCUUGAAUCCGGGAGAGGGAUGUGGAAUUCCAGGUGUAGCGGUGAAAUGCGUAGAUAUCAGGAGGAACACCGGUGGCGAAGGCGGUUCUCUGGGCCUGUACUGACGCUGAGAAGCGAAAGCAUGGGGAGCGAACAGG